AUGAAGAAGGAGGAGAGCAGACAGAAGAGAUACAUUCUACAACAAAUGUUAUUACACAACUCUGUGAUACUGAUUUAGAUGCAAAAGCUGCCAAAACUGUUUUAAAUAGUACUUGUAUUAUAAACAAAAGGACGCAGCAAAAAGCAAACUGUGUUUAGCCAUUAUUAAAAAUGAGUUAAAAGAAAACGAGAACAAAAGGUAAAUUGAACUUUAGGGUGCGUUUGCUAUCUUUAUUACUUAUUAUAUAUUAAGAGAUGAUUAUGAUACUUUUGUCUUAAACUUUAUGUUUUAAAACACAUUUACUUUGUUUACGAGAUAUUCGAUUGCUUGUAUUAGAAUUUUUGACCUGUUUGUACUUUAUACUUAUCUUAACAGAUAAAAUUUAUUUAUUUAAUGUGUUUUUUAAAUAAUCGUUAAUAAUAAUACGAUAUAUGUAUUUAUUAGAGUAAGUCAUAGACGAUGGGAAGAAUUAGCCUUGCAAAUACAGGACGCUAUUCCAGGAGAAAUUCAAGAGACAUAUUAUAUUCCUUAU